rnacentral:lncRNA from 1 species
AUAACAGAUGGAGGUGUGAAAAGAUGGGGCAAAGUAUAAGAUAAUGGAAUAUAUAGGUGUAGAACACAGAAAAUAUUCGUUCAUAUCUUUUUCAGAAGAGACUCGUGCUACGCGAUAAGUCCCGAAUCGUCCACGGAGAUUUUCUAACGCAUCAAACCCCGUGGAAGAUUGAACUAUAAAUGAAUACGAUCUUUAAUUUGUUGGAUUAAAUAGGCCAAUAUUCUGUCCUGUGGUGGGAGGCCAUAUAGGCAGAGUCAUUUUCAAAAUGGCAUGAGGCUGGGUUGGGCCGAGUCAUAUUCGAAGUGGCGUGAGGCUGAUUCGGCCGAGUCACAAUCGAGACCCGUGGGCUAUAUCUGUACGUUUUAAGUGAAUUGGUUGCGUAUUUCUAACAGCUCGAAUUUUUGGGAUUAAUGGUUAGCAUCAACGAUCCGACAAGUGGUAUCAGAGCCAGUGGUCACGGGUUUGAUUCCCGCAUACUGUAAAUAUGUGCAGGUGCUGGAUGGGGGAUUGUUGGUUUAAAUGGACCAGCAUUCUGCAAUGUAGCGGAAGGUCAUGUGGGCCAAAUCAUGUUCGAAAUUGCGUGAGGCUAGGUUGGGCCGAGUAAUGCGGAAGGUCAUGUGGGCCAAAUCAUGUUCGAAAUGACGUGAGGCUAGAUUGGGCCGAGUAAUGUUUGAUGUGGUGUGAGGCUGGUUGGGCCGAAUCACAAUCGAGAUCCGUGGGCGCUGUAUCUGUGCGCUUUAAGGUACCGUUUGGUUCGAGUAUAAGAAAGAACUAGCUAUUACAGGAAUAGAUACAAGUAUGGGGAUAAAAAAAAUAGCGUUUGGAUAGAUAAUAUGGAAUAAGAAAAAUAUUAGGUAGUUUUGUAUAGAAAAUGGAGGUGUUGGUGGGAAUAGUUAUAACCGGUUAUUAUAGGUAACCGAGAACUACUGUUCUCGGAUAAAAAAUUAGUAUUUGGGUAUAAAGGGGGAUAAGGGCCUAUCCCUAUCCCUAUCUCCUAACCAAACACUGUCUAAGUGAAUUAGUUGUAUAUUUUUAACAGCUCAAGCUUUUGGGAUUAAUGGUUAGCGCCAAUGAUCCGACAUAAUUUAUCGUUCAAGAUCCUCUAGAAGCAAUAGGCUAAUGAAAGAUAUGAUUUCUCUCUUGCACAAGAUGACUCAAAAACCACUCACGAAUUUAUCAGUAUUUUUUUUAAAAUUUUUUUCUUGUUCUACCUAUGAGGGAAUAGCUUAUAUAUUUAUAAAGGAAUCCAAAAUCAUAAUAGAUAAGUAAAAGAUUAGACCGAAUCGAUUUAUAAUUGUUAUUUUAAUAUGGCUAGAAUAUAUAUCUAAUUAAUUUUUUAAUUUAAAAGUGAGAUUAAGUCUAGUUCAAUUAUCAUAAUAACUGUCGGAUCGAGCCUGAUUAUGGACACACCCGAUUCAGUUAAACCGAAUGCCCAACAAUAGGGAUACACCUUUUCCCACUCAUAGUUAGGGGUGGAAAUGAGCUGAGCUCGAGCGAGCUUAUCUCGGCUCAAAUUCGGAUUGAAAUUAAUUUCGAGCCUAAUUUAGGCUCAAGCUUGGAUUGAAAUUAAUUCGAGCCGAGCUCGAGCGAGCCUAAUUUUGAGUCGAGCAAGCUCGAGCCCUAAACGAGCCGCUUGAAAUUCUCAACAUCAUACGAUCAAUAGUUUAAUUUGUAUAGAACAUUAUUUAUAAUUUGAUACAAAAAUAUGUCUAAUAGUUCAAAGUACAAAAUAAUUAUAUAAAAUAUAGUAUUAUAAUAAAAAAAAAAUAAUUUAUGAGUUGAAUAUCUAAUCUUUUCAGCCUCAUAUGUCUUUUCUUCCGCCUUCAAUCUCCAUAUUAUUCAUUUUCAUUUAUGCAGUCAAAAAUAAAAUAAAUUAUAUAGAUAAAUAUUGGAUUAAACUAUCCAAUCAUAUAUAACUAAAAUUAAAAUUUCAUAUGAAUACUAAUUUUUUACUUUAAAAAUAUUCUGUACAUUUUCUCAAGCAUACAAUUAAUAGCAAGGUAGGCAACGGCAGGUAUAUACUGUUACUUGGUAAUUUGGAGGGCUUCCGGCUUGGCCACUUAGGGUGAGAGAUAGAAAAAGAGAAAAAGAGAAAUAUAUUGAAAAUUUAGAACUCUGUAAAGAAAGAAAGAAAGAAAAAAUGUACAAAUUUAGUAAAAUUUUGCUCUUUUAUUUGUCUAUUGGGUUUGUUUUUAUGGGCCAANNNNNNNNNNNNAGAGAGAGAGAGAGAGAGUAGGUCUUGUGUGCUAUUAGGAGCACGGAUCCGUGCUCCUAAGCCGUUUUUUAUGAUAGAGUUUUCGAAUCGACGAUCGGCUCCAUCAGACUUGAUCUGGCGUAUUUGAAGUAUCUAGAAAAUAAAUUUAGUGAUUUUUCGGUAUCAUUUACCUAGCGAUCUAAAGGGUUCAAAAUCAACAGCUAAAAAUAAAAAUCUCACAAAAAGUGGUCAUAUAACGCUAAAAUUUUCGAUCAGAGAUAUUAAUCUUGCAGUAAAUAGUAUAAAUAAUUUUCGAUCCAAAUUUUAUCUGAUUUGAAUACUUCUACACCGUUAAACUUGCAAACGAUAUUAAUCAACCAUUAAAAAUUGUUGAUUUUGAAUCUUUUCAAUCGCUAAGUAAAUGAUAUUAAAAAAUCGCAAAAUUUAUUUUCUAGAUACUUCAAAUACGCUAGAUCAAGUCUAACUGAGCCAAUCGUCGAUUUGGAAGCUCCAUUGCCGAAAAUGGCUUAGGAGCCCAGAGGGUUCCGUGCUCCUAAUAGCACACAAGACCUACUUAUAUAUGUAUACAUAUGUAUAUAUAUAUAUAUAUAUACACGUGUAUAUAUAUAUAUAUAUAUUCGAGCUUUUCGAGCUUAAUUCGAACGAGCUGAGUAAUACUCAAGCUCGGGUUGAAAUGAAUUUCGUGCCUUUUUUCAUGUUCAAGCUCGGCU